GAAAGAUGAUGCCAAGAAAGAUGAAGGGAAGAAAGAAGAUGAGAAAAAGAAUCCCAAUGAUCAGAUUGCUGAGCUUGUGAAGGCUUACAAGGCCUACAAUCCUCACAUGACACAAUACUAUCAUGUGGUGAGCAUUGAAGAGAACCCAAAUGCUUGUGUUAUAUGCUGAGAUGUUCUGCAUGAAUUGGUGAAUUGUUGAAGCCCAUUGGAGACAACCCAGAAAAGGUGUUGCUUGUUUUGUAUGGUUGAUGAUGGUGGGUUGAUUGAAAUUACAGUGUUAAUAAAAUGGAGAAUGUGGUAUAUAGACUAAAGAUAAAGUAAUUAAGUGAUGAUAAUUGUGAAUUCAAAUAUUCAAUAUUAUUAUAGUAUGGAUGGUAAAUCCAUAUAAGAAGUAAAAUUCAUUAACUGCAUUUUCUGUUGUCAAUUUUCGAACUUCCCAAUUCCUAAAGGAUACCAUAAUAUUUCAAGGCAGG
rnacentral:misc_RNA from 1 species